CACUUCUUAGCCUAAGACGGUGUGAUGAGUAUCGCACAAUAGGGAAUAGGGGUGAGGGCUUAAAAUCCCAACUCCCAAGCUGCCCCCGCAACUG
rnacentral:ncRNA from 1 species